rnacentral:rRNA from 1 species
ACCCUGCGGCGCAAGCCUGAUGCAGCGACGCCGCGUGGGGGAUGACGGCCUUCGGGUUGUAAACUCCUUUCGCUAGGGACGAAGCGCAAGUGACGGUACCUGGAGAAGAAGCACCGGCUAACUACGUGCCAGCAGCCGCGGUAAUACGUAGGGUGCGAGCGUUGUCCGGAAUUACUGGGCGUAAAGAGCUCGUAGGUGGUUUGUCGCGUCGUUUGUGUAAGCCCGCAGCUUAACUGCGGGACUGCAGGCGAUACGGGCAUAACUUGAGUGCUGUAGGGGAGACUGGAAUUCCUGGUGUAGCGGUGGAAUGCGCAGAUAUCAGGAGGAACACCGAUGGCGAAGGCAGGUCUCUGGGCAGUAACUGACGCUGAGGAGCGAAAGCAUGGGUAGCGAACAGGAUUAGAUACCCUGGUAGUCCAUGCCGUAAACGGUGGGCGCUAGGUGUGAGUCCCUUCCACGGGGUUCGUGCCGUAGCUAACGCAUUAAGCGCCCCGCCUGGGGAGUACGGCCGCAAGGCUAAAACUCAAAGGAAUUUGACGG